CUACGGGUGGCUCCAGUGAGGAAUAUUGGUCAAUGGGCGCAAGCCUGAACCAGCCAAUCCGCGUGCAGGAUGAAUGCCCUAUGGGUUGUAAACUGCUUUUAUACAGGAAGAAUCCUUCAUACGUGUAUGGAGCUGACUGUACUGUAAGAAUAAGCAUCGGCUAACUCCGUGCCAGCAGCCGCGGUAAUACGGAGGAUGCGAGCGUUAUCCGGAUUUAUUAGGUCUAAAGGGUGCGUAGGCGGAUAAUUAAGUCAGUGGUGAAAUCCUGCAGCUUAACUGUAGAACUGCCAUUGAUACUGGUUGUCUUGAGUUUAGUUGAGGUAAGCGGAAUGUGUAGUGUAGCGGUGAAAUGCUUAGAUAUUACACAGAACACCGAUUGCGAAGGCAGCUUACUAAGCUACAACUGACGCUGAGGCACGAAAGCGUGGGGAGCGAACAGGAUUAGAUACCCUAGUAGUC
rnacentral:rRNA from 1 species